UGAAGAGUUUGAUCAUGGCUCAGAUUGAACGCUGGCGGCAGGCCUAACACAUGCAAGUCGAACGGUAGCAGGAUGUGCUUGCACAUCGCUGACGAGUGGCGGACGGGUGAGUAAUGCUUGGGAACUUGCCUUUGCGAGGGGGAUAACAGUUGGAAACGACUGCUAAUACCGCAUAAGCCCACGACCCGGCAUCGGGAAGAGGGAAAAGGAGCAAUCCGCUUUGAGAUGGCCUCGCGUCCGAUUAGCUAGUUGGUGAGGUAACGGCCCACCAAGGCGACGAUCGGUAGCCGGACUGAGAGGUUGAACGGCCACAUUGGGACUGAGACACGGCCCAGACUCCUACGGGAGGCAGCAGUGGGGAAUAUUGCACAAUGGGGGAAACCCUGAUGCAGCGACGCCGCGUGAGCGAAGAAGUAUUUCGGUAUGUAAAGCUCUAUCAGCAGGGAAGAAAAUGACGGUACCUGACUAAGAAGCCCCGGCUAACUACGUGCCAGCAGCCGCGGUAAUACGUAGGGGGCGAGCGUUAUCCGGAUUCAUUGGGCGUAAAGCGCGCGUAGGCGGCCCGGCAGGCCGGGGG
rnacentral:rRNA from 17 species